GUGCCGCAGAGCGAGGAGUAGGACUCACAGGCUCUCUUGACAGACAAGACAGACAUUUAUUAUACACAAACAAAGGCCUAACAUAUCGGCAACCACAGAAAACCAGGUGCACGGCAGCCUGGGUUUCGCUGUCCUGGUGAUGGACAUGUCGGGAGCCGUGCCCCUUGGAAGUAUAGAAAGCCAAAGUGGUCAAAAUUUUCCAUACACAGUUUGUGUUGCACAUUACUGAGUGCCAGUGUCUGUAACGUAUAUUAAUAAAUGUUUGUCUCCAUCGAGGGAGUCUAUACAUUUUGCUCCUUGCCCAGUGCCACUCGGGCUGUUACAACUUGGCCCUACAUACAAACCUUUCUCCAAUGUCCUUCCCCAAAGUCCUUUCUUACAAAGCAAUCUUCAAGGUUAUUGGGAUGUUCUGUGGUACAUGUUGCACAGAUGGAAUUGAGCUGCUGCUCUGUCAGGCACCCAGGUUUUGCAAUAUCAACCUUAUGAAGUUCAGCAGGAAUGGUAAAGUUUAUCUGUCUAAGGCACUCACAUGUGAAACCUGACAAUAGCUGGCUUUGAUCUGCAUUAACAAUCUCAAAGUCCAGGCAAUCAUUCAUCUUUAAUUUUUCUCUCUCACUGAAAGGUGACAAGUGGCUCCAGUCAAACAGUAGAGAUGACACCCCAGAGCCCUGAGUCAGGUUACCCACUGUUAGUCCCACCCAGUAGUAAACAACAGCUGCACUCCAGAUUCAAGCCAAGAAAAGUCUAUCCAUUCAGACCAUGCCAUGUGUACAUAAGCAACAAAGGAAAACUGCCCAGAAUACAAACUCACUCAUCUGUCCUGCAUGCAUGUGUAUUGUUUUUUUAUUUGUUUAUUUUGUCAUUUGAG